GUCCAAACGCAGCUCUGAAAGCUGCAGAGUGUAGCUGAAAUGUCCUUAUAAAUUCGACUUUGGAGAGUCCUGUCACUGGGGAACCACAACAGUGAAGUCACAGGGAACCCUCAUACCACAGAAAGGGUUGUUUGUAGUUGUCAGAAACCUACCAAGGUUUCCUCCAACCCACAUCUCUCCAAGCCCAGGCACGGGUGAGCUUCACAGGCGUGGCGUGCGCUGUCAGUGAUCAUUUCUCCACUUCUCCUUUGAAAUAUGUCACUUUAAGAGACUGGAACUUAGUCAGUCUCCACAGCUAAAAUAUUCCAGCCACAGUACACCAAAGGUUACUAGAUGAAGUUUCAUUUACUUUGUUUUGUUGAGAUAGUGUCUCACCCACUGUGUAGCCCAGGAGGGUCUACAGCUCACUGUGGUGUCCCAGGCUGGCUUCACACUGACAGAACUCAGGCCUUAGCCUCCUGAGUGCUGGGAUUAUAGUUAUGAACCACCAUACCCAGCUUUAAAAUGAGAGAGGUUUGUAGCUACUCUUUUAAUUUUUAUUACCUUGCAAAUUAAAGGACAUUGUUAUAAAGUGGGAAACCAGCUAAUAAAGCUUAACCAAGUUGUUAAUAAACACUCUGGAUUCAUAAAACCCUUAGACCAUGUCUCAGUAGCGGGAUUCCCUAGUCUCCCUUUGAUCAGCCAGUACUGUUCUAGCACUGCCACUAAUAGCUCUAAAGUGACGGUCCUAUGCUACAAUGCCUAGAACCUAAAUCCAGAAUUAUAGAAAAAAUAAUUGUUAACUUUCAAAGUCCUGCAAUGUGAUAGUUGACCAAAAAAUGCUUCGUGUAUUAUGAGACAGGAAUUAUUAAUAUUAUCAGUAUUAGCCAGAGACACCCUUUCAGAAAUUAAAUUUUGGAGGAUUUUCUGCUACUCUGUAAACAGAAAACUUCUAAAUACUUCUAUAAAUACAAGAAUUGGUCAUGAAGCAGAUCUUUUUUGUGGUGAAAUCUUGCUCAUCAUUGUCCUAGGAGUCCUGGGCUAGUGGAUUCCUUGCUGGUGCAGGUGCUGGCUGCUGAUGCCCUUUUAGCCCCAAACUGUACAACUAGCAGCAUCUCAGGUCCAGCCUUGUCAUCAUCACAUGAUCUAGCCCAUCUCUGCUCUGUGGAGGUAGAGGAAUGUGUGUGUAACUUCACAAGUGAGUUCUGAUUAGCCCACAGCAACCAGCAUAACCUCACAAAUGCAAUGCAGUUAAAAAGAAGGAAACGUCACAGACUAGUCCUUUGGAGGCUGGCGGCCAGCGGUCCAACAUCACCCGCCUCACGACCAUCUGCAGGAAGACCAUCACUUGGUGUAUUGCUGGUGAUGGAGGAGUGAGUCAGAACAUAUCCCUGCACUGCGGCCCACUAAGCUGCCAGCGUGGGACCCCGUUUUGAGAUCACAUAAGGAUGCACCUCUGCCAAGUGUUGCCUGUUCCAGUGUAAGGUGAUCAGAGCUCUGGAACCCACCAGUGAUGACUUUCAGUGGAUGUUCUCAGCG
rnacentral:lncRNA from 1 species